ACUCUCCAGUUCCCUUUCCCAUUGGAUCUGAACCCUGGUCUCGGUGGCCAUAAAAGCUGUGCUUAUAGUGUCUGCUGUAGAGCAUGUGGGCUAGUUUCAAAGAAGG
ensembl:snoRNA